rnacentral:ncRNA from 1 species
CCCGAGGAGCGUUGCAGCGGGCGUAGGUCGAACAUGAUCUAUGCCUCCGUCAGGCUCGGGAAUUUUACUUUACAACAACGGCGCUCAUC